rnacentral:lncRNA from 1 species
GUUUAGGAUUUAGUUUAGGAUUUGGAUUAGGAUUUGGUUUAGGAUUUAGGAUGUGGUUAGGGUUUGAUUUAGGAUUUAGGGUUUAGUUAGGAAUUAGGUAAGGAUUUAGGAUUUGAUUUAGAGUUUGAUUUAGGAUUGAGGGUUUGGAUUAGGAUUUGAUUUAGGAUUUAGGAUUUAUUUUAGGAUUUGGUUAAGGUUUAUUUAGGAUUUAGGAUUUGGUUUCGGUUUAGUUUAGGAUUUAGGAUUUGGUUAGGAUUUUAUUUAGGAUUUAAGGUUUGUUUAGGAUUUGAUUUAGGAUUUAGGAUUUUAUUAGGAUUUAAGAUUCAAUUGGUUUUGGCCUAAAUUUUGAAUGAAGUUCAAUAGGAUUUUAACUAGAUUUAAAUUAAGAUUGAAUUGAAAUGUAUUUGAGUGAUAUUUGUAUUCUAUCUAAUAUUUCUUUAAGAUUUCUUAUUAUUUGUUUGAAAUUCUUUGAAGUUUUUUUGAAUUUGAUUAAGCUUGCUUAGUAUUAUUAUAAUCUAGUUAGAGUAUUAUUAGUAUUCUAUUAGAAUUAGGAUUUUGUUAUUGCAAUAUCCAUUCUUCUUUCCACAGCCAGGUG